AUACGGAGGGUGCAAGCGUUGUUCGGAAUUACUGGGCGUAAAGCGCGCGUAGGCGGUUUGUUAUGUCAGAUGUGAAAGUCCACGGCUCAACCGUGGAAGUGCAUUUGAAACUGGCAAACUCGAGUACUGGAGGGGGUGGUGGAAUUCCCGGUGUAGAGGUGAAAUUCGUAGAUAUCGGGAGGAAUACCGGUGGCGAAGGCGACCACCUGGCCAGAUACUGACGCUGAGGUGCGAAAGCGUGGGGAGCAAACAGGAUUAGAAACCCUAGUAGUCC
rnacentral:rRNA from 1 species